GCCAGACUCCUACGGGAGGCAGCAGUGGGGGAUAUUGCACAAUGGGGGGAACCCUGAUGCAGCGACGCCGCGUGGGUGAAGACGGCCUUCGGGUUGUAAAGCUCUGUCAAUCGGGACGAAGAAGAUGACGGUACCGAUGAAGGAAGCUCCGGCUAACUACGUGCCAGCAGCCGCGGUAAUACGUAGGUGGCAAGCGUUGUCCGGAAUUACUGGGUGUAAAGGGUGCGUAGGUGGUUUGGCAAGUUAGUAGCGUAAUUCCGGGGCUCAACUUCGGAACUACUACUAAAACUGCUGGGCUUGAGUGCAGGAGGGGCAUAUGGAAUUCCUAGUGUAGCGGUGGAAUGCGUAGAUAUUAGGAGGAACACCAGUGGCGAAGGCGAUAUGCUGGACGGUAACUGACACUGAGGCACGAAAGCGUGGGGAGCAAACAGGAUUAGAUACCCGUGUAUGU
rnacentral:rRNA from 1 species